GCCCUCGCCUCCAAUCCCCGGUGUUUGCCCUAAUUUCCUGAUCCAGGGAACCUGCCGCCGCAGCAGCUGUGCGCUCCCUACAGUCAUUACUGUACCUCCCGGCCGCCGCCAACAGUAAAUGCAGCAGCGGCGGCAGCAGCAGUUAACGCUGAUGCAACUAUUGCUGCUCUUGCCACCGCCUUCCCACUAGUGGGGCUUGCAGCCCGGGGGACUUGUCGCUUCCAGGGGCAACAAACAUCUCUCUACCACCCUCCCCUGCGCCCCAGAGAGGCUGGUAUUGUGAGGCUGCCUCACCAUAGGAAGUAAGAAGUGGAAUGAAGUGUCCCCUUCUCAAGUAUUUUGAUGGUGACUUCCCAGGCUUCCACUGCAUCAUUUUCUGAUUGUGUGACAGCCCAGUGAAAUGAAUGGGUUCACCCCACUCCAGGCUCUGUGGGUAGGGCCUGCUGGUGUAAACCAGAGGGUCACAAACUUGAGCUUCCAUCAGAAUCCUUUGGAGAGCUUGUUAAAUCACAGAUUGCUAGGCCCCACCCCAGAGUUUCUGAUUCAGCAGGUCUGGAGUGGGUUCCUCACAGGUUCCCAGGUGAUGCUGAUGCUGCUGGUCAGGGAACACACUUUGAGAACCACUAUUCUAAACCCAUCAGCAUAACUUCCCCCUCAGCCACUGUGAUUGAUUCAAGCGCCUCACCCAGUCAGCCUAUGGCCUUCUCCUGGCCACAGUGACCGGAUGCUUCAGCCCUAAGCGCAUUACUCAAGUCCAUCCAGUUAUAAUGAAGCUCAGGACUUCUGUGUGGUUAGAAAGACACUCUCCUCUAAGCAGUGUGCUUCAUGGAUGUUAGGCCAGAACUGCUGUAACUAUUGUGCCACCAUGAAGGAAGCCAAUCUGAAGACCAACUGACUCUUGAAGAGGCUGAGAACCAGAGAAAAGGCACCGAAACUUGACCUCGAGCCAGAGCCCAGGCCCCAUGGUUGAUACAGAAGACUGUCAUAUGACCCAGUGAGAGUAACUGAAAUCAAAGAAAGGGCUCCAGUGUCUAGUCAAGGACAUGCCACAGGGUCGAGAAGGAGCAGAAGUUUCAACAGCAGGGCAAGAGACAAGCUGUGUGUGGACAGGUAGCAGUAUGGGAAAUAUUUAACUCCCUGUGGUGAUUAUGGGCCCAAGGAGCUCGUGAAGCACAGAGCGCCAACUUAAGGAUCUUGUGUUAUAAUUUUUCAAAGACUGCACAGCAGGUACACCAGCCAUACAACUAACAUAAGUCAGUUGUUAUGUUUCUAGACUAUUACACACUUUGUCGAUUAGCAGCUUGGGGUUCCUUCUGCUGAAUUUCUUGAGAAAACCUCCAGAAGUCGGCAGUAGCUCUCAGACUGAGGCGGCUCUCGAGCCUCACCCCCUCCAACCGCAGAAAGCAUUGGCUUACCCGCCUGAAGAGCUAAAGCUGACCUGGAAGUCAUGCUUAGAGGAGAAAAAGAAGUCAGAGUCUCUUAUGUAACUUGAAGAGUAUAAAGGAUCCAAUGAUAAAAACCACUGCCCGGAACUUUUCCAAAGCACAAUAAAUCUCUCUGCAUAAGAGUCUCCAGUUGUUGCUAAGAUUAUCUGUCUACUGACCUUUCCGUGGCUCAGCAUUUUGUUGCAGUGCAUGAGCUAACUUGGAAAACAGAGCCAAGUGACAAGCUGUGAAGCAACGGCUCAGCCUCGCAGAAUCAUGAAUGGGGAGCCAUGUGGGAAGAAGACUGGAUUGGGAAUCAGUCAGGAUCCUGCGCUGGGUUUCUCCCAGAUUAUCCCACCAAUCAGCCAUCUGGUCUCAGGUUACGCCACAGUCGGUGAAAGAGUAGCAGCAAACGAUGACUGAAAACCUAAGUGGAUGGAGAAGCUGCAGAGUGAGAGGGCAUCUUCCAGGGGGAAUACAAGGCUUUCUCUUGACUUCUUUGCAUUGUUCUAAUGCCUUUGAUUUUGGAAAUGCUACCAGAAUGAUGGCUGCAUUUUUAGUGGUGGAAAUUAUUGUUACAUCUCAGAAGCAAGGAAUCAGAAUACCUACUUUCUAGUGGUGAUGUAUGACUCUCAUAAAAUCCACACCAUUAUUUAUAAUACCCUAGUGAAUAUUUUCAUAGAAAUGGAACAUAGAUUCCUAACAUUUCCUGCGAUUUCCAAAAAGAAAGGAAAGAAAAAAAGAAUUUGACUAAAUGCCCAUUUGUUAGCCCAGCAUGGGAAGGGACCAGCUUUAAAGAAUAAUUGGUGACUCCUUAAAAAACAUUUGAAUAUGACAAAAGCUGGCAAAAAAGAUGAGGGAAGAAAGGAUGACACGUUUUUGUUACGAGGUUUGAAUUUAUCUUAGCAUGAUCAGUUGGCUGUUGGGGAACUGUGCCCCCCUGUGAAUUGCAUGCUUCAGUUAUGUCAUUGGCUCUGGUGACUCACAGAGAGGAUAAUCCAGUUCUCCAAAUAAAGAAGUGUCUGAAAACAAAGAAUAAAGAGAAGUUGCAUUUUGGAAGCACGCUCGUUCAUAAAACUGUCAAGGUAGUCAAAACACAUUGCCCAGGUCCAAGGAGAAGAAAAAUAGACUGUACCUCUCGAUGGGCAAGUAGCAAAUUUUGCAAGAACGUGUGGGACCAGAAAUGUUAACAUGGUCAUUUAUGGAAAAUACAACCUGCCACAAUAAGUCCUCUUCUUUCUGAUAUCAUCUGCACCACAUAUCUGCAGAGCAAAUAUGGAAAAUUAGCCAGGUCCUGUCAACUGUCCAGCUGAAUAACUAAUAAAAGCCAUGAAACCUCAGAAGACAAAUCUGGCUGAUCAUCAGAAUCACCUGAGAAGCAUAUUAAAAUACAACAUUAUGGUUUUACCCCAGAUGCUCUGGAUGGUGUUCAGGGAUCUGCAUUUAAAGAAACUUCUCAGGUCAUCAGGGGAUCCAUGCUGAAUGGUGCUGGAAGAUGAUCCCAAAAGAAGAAGGCAAAGGAGUUAGUACAAACAUCUGUGACCUCAUAAUUCGAUUUCUAUUUCUGUCUUCUCCGAUAUAUGUAUGAUUAGCAUCAGAGGACACGUCGUCCUGCCUCCUACCUCCAGAAUCUCGUGUGUGUUUGAUGAGAAGAGUGAAUGGCCCACAUUUGAGAGCAUUUGGCAAGACAUGAUUCCUAUCUUACUUGAUAUUUCAUAUUAAAUACAAAAAGACACCUUAACCCACCAGUACCAGAAAUUUAGUCUACUUUGCUUUUAUGGACAUCUGUUCUCAGAGUACUGGUUGUCUAUCGAACUGCUAUAAUAAAGGUUAAUUCUACAUUAAAGUAAUUGUGUGUAUAAUUAGAAUACUUACAAUAGCCAUACUUUUUGAACUGGUAGCACCACUUCUAGCAAUCUAUCUAAAUACCUCAAACACAAAAUAUCUUUAUACUCAAAGAUGUUCAUUCCAGCAUUAUAUACAUAUAGGUGAAAACUUGGAAGUCUCCAGAAGGGAUGGAGGGCAGUGAGAUCUUGGCAUGUUGUUCCAGUCACGUGUAGUAAUGUAUUUGACUUUCUGGCUUGAACUGUUUACAUAUAUACUUUGCUUUUCCCCUUUCAAUAGGGAAUGCUUAGAUAAAUAGUGGCAUAUCCACAUGACAGAACUAGGCCAGUAUAAAAAUUAUGUUUUGAACAGAUAGUUCACAAAAUAAAAAAAAGUACCAUAAACACAAAUAUUUAACCCCAUCAGUAAUAAAGGGAAGAAUAAGAUUCCAAUUUCAACAAAUUUUAACAAAUAGUUUAAAAAAAGGUUGAUAAUGCCUAGUGUUGGUGAAAUUGUGGAGAAACGGGCACCACUUUGCUGUUGUUAGUAUAAGUUGGUACAUACUUUCUAGGUAGAAAUUUGGUAAUAUGUAACCAAAGUCUGAAAAAUUUGUGUAGAUUUUUUUUUUGUUCAGCAAUUCUAUGUAUUUUUUGAAAAUAUAAACAAUGCUAUACUUGUUCAAUUUAUGAAAAUUUGCGAACUUGUGUCCAAAAAUAGGAAUUAUUUAAAUAAAAUAUGGGACUAUACAAUGGAAUACAGUUAGGAAAGAUAUUCAUAAUAUGUAGGUAAUAAUUUAGAAGUUGCAAAAUAGAGGGUAAAAUAAAACAAUUUUGGUAAACCGUAUAUAAGAACACACAAGAUGUCAAGAAAAAAAUGUGCUAAGAAUUGAUAAUGAGUAUCUCUGGGUCGUGGGGCCUUUUGGUGGUUUUGCUUUUCUUUUUUGCAUAGUAUUUUCCAUAAAUUUUGCAACAAAUGUGAACUUUUUGUAUAAAAGUAAGAAAAUUAUGGUCAUAAAAAUGUUUAAGCAAUAUGAGAUAAUGCCAAUUAUGACAAAAAAUGAAGGCUGCCUUGUGAUUACAAGUAUGUAGAAAUGUGUACCUUAAAAGAAGAAAAGAUGGAAGGAUGAGGGAAGAAAGGGGAGACAGAAGGAGGAAAAAUCUCUCCUAACGGCGGUUUUCUUUGGCCAGCAGACUGUGGGACAAAUGUAUUCUACUUUUAUGAAUUUUUCAUACUUUCUAAUAUAUUACCAAUUUUAUACGUAGAAGAACUAGAAGGAAAUUUAAUAAAGUCAUUAGCAUCUUUCCAUCAUAUUUUAUUUUAAUCACCUCUCUGCUGUAUCAAGUAUCCAUACUGAGUUUUAGCACCAAGUUUCUGGGCUCCAACCAGCCCACCGUAUUAGGUAAGUUUACAUAAAAUAUUACUACUGACUUGAUGAUUUCAAUCAGUGAAAACAUAGGAGGCUUGGAGACUUUUCUAUUAUCCUCUCAUGGGUCUUGCAGGGAGCUUGGUGGGAUUAGAAUUUGCUCGUCUCCGCUCAGCAUUCCAUGUUGGUCACC